UGGCCGGGUUGCUCAGGGCGCUGCAGCAGCGCACUUCUCUGGACACCAGCCAGGUCGAUGACGUGGUGCUGGGCUGCGUGACGCCGGUCGGCGAUCAAGGCGCCGACAUCGCCAAAACCGCGACACAAGUGGCCGAUUGGGACGUCAGCGUGGCAGGUGUGCAGAUCAACCGCUUCUGCGCGUCGGGGCUCGAGGCGGUGAAUCUCGGGGCGAUGAAAGUGCGUUCCGGCUUUGAAGAACUGGUGGUGGUCGGUGGCGUCGAGUCGAUGUCCAGGGUGCCGAUGGGCAGCGACGGCGGCGCCUGGGCGCUGGACCCGGAAACCAAUCUGCACAGCCAUUUCACACCGCAAGGCGUGGGCGCCGACCUGAUCGCCACCCUUGAAGGCUUCAGCCGUCAGGACGUCGAUGCCUACGCGCUGCAUUCCCAGCAAAAAGCCGCGCGGGCCCGGGCCGAUGGAUCGUUCAGUAAAUCGCUGGUGCCGGUACGGGACCAGAACGGCAUUCUCCUGCUCGAUCACGAUGAGUUCAUCCGCGCCGACUCCACGCUUGAAGGCCUGGGCAAGCUCAAGCCGAGCUUCGAGAUGAUGGGGCAAAUGGGCUUCGAUGCCACGGCGUUGCGGGUCUACAGCCACGUCGAGCGAAUCAACCAUGUGCACACGCCGGGCAACAGUUCCGGGAUCGUCGAUGGCGCGGCGCUGAUGUUGAUCGGCUCCGAAGCCAAGGGGCGCGCGCUGGGCUUGCAGCCACGGGCGCGGAUCGUCGCCACGGCGGUUACCAGCACCGACCCGACCAUCAUGCUCACCGGCCCGGCGCCGGCCACGCGCAAGGCGCUGGCCAAGGCCGGGCUGCGGGUCGAAGACAUCGACCUGUUCGAGGUCAACGAGGCGUUUGCCUCUGUCGUACUGAAAUUCAUCAAGGACAUGACCAUCGACCCGGACAAGGUCAACGUCAACGGCGGCUCCAUCGCCAUGGGCCAUCCCUCGGCGCGACCGGUUGCGCAAUCCUCGGCACGCUGCUCGAUGAGCUGGAAGCCCGCCGCCUGCGCUAUGGCCUGGCGACCUUGUGUGUCGGCGGCGGCAUGGGCAUUGCCACCAUCAUCGAACGCCUCUGAGCCCCCGAUUUUCAGGAAAACAAGAGCCAUGAACGAAGCAAUCCGUUACGAAAAAGGGCAGGACCAGAUCGUCGUCCUGACCAUCGACAUGCCGGGCCAGAGCGCCAACACCAUGAACGCGGUCUACCGUGAGGCCAUGGCUGCCUGCGUCGCCCGUUUGGUGGCUGAAAAAGACAGCAUCGCCGGCGUCAUCAUCACCUCGGCCAAGAAAACGUUUUUCGCCGGUGGCGACCUGAAUGAACUGAUCAAGGUCGGCAAGCCUGAAGCCAAAGCGUUCUAUGACAUGGUGCUGAUGCUGAAGGGCCAGUUACGCACCCUGGAAACCCUGGGUAAACCUGUCGUCGCCGCGAUCAACGGCGCGGCGCUGGGCGGUGGCUGGGAAAUCUGCCUGGCAUGCCAUCACCGCGUGGCACUGGACAAUUCAUCGGUGCAGCUCGGUUUGCCGGAAGUCACCCUCGGCCUGUUGCCGGGCGGCGGCGGGGUGGUGCGCAUGGUGCGCAUGCUCGGUCUGGAAAAAGCCUUGCCGUAUCUGCUUGAAGGCAAGAAGGUCCGCCCACAGCAAGCCUUGCAGGCGGGGCUUAUCGAUGAACUGGCAUCGGAUGGCGAAGAGCUGCUGGCCAAGGCUCGAGCCUGGAUCAUCGCCAACCCAGUGGCUGUGCAGCGCUGGGACGUGAAGGGCUAUCAGAUACCGGGCGGUACGCCAUCGAAUCCUAAAGUCGCGCAGAUGCUGGCGAUAGCGCCGUCGAUCCUGCGCACUAAAACCCAGGGCUGCCUGCCCGCGCCGGAGAAAAUUCUUUGCGCGGCGGUUGAGGGCGCGCAGGUGGAUUUCGAUACCGCGCACCUGAUCGAAACCCGUUAUUUCACAGAGCUGACCACCGGCCAGGUCUCGAAGAACCUGAUCGGCACCUUCUGGUUCCAGCUCAACGAGAUCAAUGCGGGCGGCUCGCGGCCUCACGGCUUUACACCUUAUGUGACACGUCGCGUGGGCGUUUUGGGCGCCGGGAUGAUGGGCGCCGGGAUUGCUUUUGUCAGCGCAUCGGCGGGCAUCGACGUGGUGCUCAAGGACAUCAACCUCGCGGCAGCGGAGAAGGGCAAGGCACAUUCGGCGGCAUUGCUGGACAAGAACGUUGCCCGCGGCCAGUUGAGCGCCGAGCAGCGCGAUGCAGUGCUGGCGCGAAUUAAAACCACCGAAAAGGAUGCCGAUCUGGCCGGCUGCGAUCUGAUCAUUGAAGCCGUGUUCGAAGAUCGCGAACUGAAAGCCAAAGUCUCUUCCGCCGCGCAACUUAUCGUUGGCCCUGACGCAGUGAUUGCUUCCAACACGUCGACCUUGCCUAUCAGCGGUCUCGCCACCGCCGUACCGGACCAGAGCAAGUUCAUCGGCCUGCAUUUCUUCAGCCCCGUGGAAAAAAUGCCCUUGGUGGAAAUCAUCAAAGGCGCCCACACCAGUGACGAAACCCUGGCCCGAGGGUUCGAUUUCGUACUGCAAAUCAAGAAAACGCCGAUUGUGGUCAACGACAGUCGUGGCUUUUUCACUUCUCGAGUGUUCGGCACCUUCACCAACGAAGGCAUUGCCAUGCUUGGCGAAGGCGUGAGCGCAGCGAUGAUCGAGACCGAAGCCCGCAAGGCUGGCAUGCCGAUCGGGCCUCUGGCGAUCUCCGA
rnacentral:misc_RNA from 1 species